rnacentral:rRNA from 1 species
AUUGAACGCUGGCGGCAUGCUUUACACAUGCAAGUCGAACGGUAACAGGCCGCAAGGUGCUGACGAGUGGCGAACGGGUGAGUAAUGCAUCGGAACGUGCCCAGUCGUGGGGGAUAACGCAGCGAAAGCUGUGCUAAUACCGCAUACGAUCUAUGGAUGAAAGCGGGGGACCGUAAGGCCUCGCGCGAUUGGAGCGGCCGAUGUCAGAUUAGGUAGUUGGUGGGGUAAAGGCCUACCAAGCCGACGAUCUGUAGCUGGUCUGAGAGGACGACCAGCCACACUGGGACUGAGGCACGGCCCAGACUCCUACGGGAGGCAGCAGUGGGGAAUUUUGGACAAUGGGCGCAAGCCUGAUCCAGCAAUGCCGCGUGCAGGAAGAAGGCCUUCGGGUUGUGAACUGCUUUUGUACGGAACGAAACGGUCCGGGUUAAUACCCUGGGCUAAUGACGGUACCGUAAGAAUAAGCACCGGCUAACUACGUGCCAGCCGCCGCAGUAACAC